rnacentral:rRNA from 1 species
UACGGAGGGGGGCUAGCGUUGUUCGGAAUUACUGGGCGUAAAGCGCACGUAGGCGGCUUUUGUAAGUUAGAGGUGAAAGCCCAGGGCUUAACCCUGGAAUUGCCUUUAAGACUGCAUCGCUAGAAUCGUGGAGAGGUAAGUGGAAUUCCGAGUGUAGAGGUGAAAUUCGUAGAUAUUCGCAAGAACACCGGUGGCGAAGGCGGCCAACUGGACCCAUUACUGACGCUGAGGCGCGAAAGCGUGGGGAGCAAACAGG